GUGCCAGCAGCCGCGGUAAUACGAAGGGUGCGAGCGUUAUUCGGAGUGAUUGGGCGUAAAGGGUGUGUAGGCGGUGCGUUAAGUCAAUUGUUAAAUUUCUCGGCCUAACCGAGGGUCAGCGGUUGAUACUGGCGUGCUUGAGGAUGGAAGAGAGAAGCGGAAUUCUAGGAGUAGCGGUAAAAUGCGUAGAUCUCGAGAGGAACACCGAUGGCGAAGGCAGCUUCUUGGUCCAUUUCUGACGCUGAGGCACGAAGGCCAGGGGAGCAAACGGGAUUAGAUACCCCGGUAGUCC
rnacentral:rRNA from 1 species